CCUACGGGAGGCAGCAGUGAGGAAUAUUGGUCAAUGGACGCAAGUCUGAACCAGCCAUGCCGCGUGCAGGAAGACGGCUCUCUGAGUUUUAAAUUGCUUUUGUACGGGGGUAAACGCAGAUACGCGUAUCUGUCUGAAAGUAUCGUACGACUAAGGAUCGGCUAACUCCGUGCCAGCAGCCGCGGGAAUACGGAGGGUUCAAGCGUUAUCCGGAUUUAUUGGGUUUAAAGGGCGCGUAGGCGGUAGGAUAAGUUAGAGGUGAAAUCCCGGGGCUCAACUUCGGAAUUGCAUCUGAUACUGUUCGGCUAGAGAGUAGUGGAGGUAGGCGGAAUGCAUGGUGUAGCGGUGAAAUGCUUAGAGAUCA
rnacentral:rRNA from 1 species